AUUGAACGCUGGCGGCAGGCCUAACACAUGCAAGUCGAACGGUAACAGGAAGCAGCUUGCUGCUUCGCUGACGAGUGGCGGACGGGUGAGUAAUGUCUGGGAAGCUGCCUGAUGGAGGGGGAUAACUACUGGAAACGGUAGCUAAUACCGCAUAAUGUCGCAAGACCAAAGAGGGGGACCUUCGGGCCUCUUGCCAUCGGAUGUGCCCAGAUGGGAUUAGCUUGUUGGUGGGGUAACGGCUCACCAAGGCGACGAUCCCUAGCUGGUCUGAGAGGAUGACCAGCCACACUGGAACUGAGACACGGUCCAGACUCCUACGGGAGGCAGCAGUGGGGAAUAUUGCACAAUGGGCGCAAGCCUGAUGCAGCCAUGCCGCGUGUAUGAAGAAGGCCUUCGGGUUGUAAAGUACUUUCAGCGGGGAGGAAGGGAGUAAAGUUAAUACCUUUGCUCAUUGACGUUACCCGCAGAAGAAGCACCGGCUAACUCCGUGCCAGCAGCCGCGGUAAUACGGAAGGUGCAAGCGUUAAUCGGAAUUACUGGGCGUAAAGCGCACGCAGGCGGUUUGUUAAGUCAGAUGUGAAAUCCCCGGGCUCAACCUGGGAACUGCAUCUGAUACUGGCAAGCUUGAGUCUCGUAGAGGGGGGUAGAAUUCCAGGUGUAGCGGUGAAAUGCGUAGAGAUCUGGAGGAAUACCGGUGGCGAAGGCGGCCCCCUGGACGAAGACUGACGCUCAGGUGCGAAAGCGUGGGGAGCAAACAGGAUUAGAUACCCUGGUAGUCCACGCCGUAAACGAUGUCGACUUGGAGGUUGUGCCCUUGAGGCGUGGCUUCCGGAGCUAACGCGUUAAGUCGACCGCCUGGGGAGUACGGCCGCAAGGUUAAAACUCAAAUGAAUUGACGGGGGCCCGCACAAGCGGUGGAGCAUGUGGUUUAAUUCGAUGCAACGCGAAGAACCUUACCUGGUCUUGACAUCCACGGAAGUUUUCAGAGAUGAGAAUGUGCCUUCGGGAACCGUGAGACAGGUGCUGCAUGGCUGUCGUCAGCUCGUGUUGUGAAAUGUUGGGUUAAGUCCCGCAACGAGCGCAACCCUUAUCCUUUGUUGCCAGCGGUCCGGCCGGGAACUCAAAGGAGACUGCCAGUGAUAAACUGGAGGAAGGUGGGGAUGACGUCAAGUCAUCAUGGCCCUUACGACCAGGGCUACACACGUGCUACAAUGGCGCAUACAAAGAGAAGCGACCUCGCGAGAGCAAGCGGACCUCAUAAAGUGCGUCGUAGUCCGGAUUGGAGUCUGCAACUCGACUCCAUGAAGUCGGAAUCGCUAGUAAUCGUGGAUCAGAAUGCCACGGUGAAUACGUUCCCGGGCCU
rnacentral:rRNA from 1 species